CUGAUAAUAACCGAUGUAAAUAAUGAAAGCAGAACAGAAAGCUUAAUACAAUUAUUCGGAAUUAUUGAAAAAAAUGAAUUACAUAUUUGUUUCAUCUGAAAGGAAUGGAAAUAUAUCUCUGAUAAAUGUGUGUUCUGAUUUACGAAAUGAAUGCAUUCUUUUAUAAUUGUAUUGUGUUGUAAAGGCAUUGACCGAAGCAUAUUCUGAGUGCCCACGGUCAACGUUUUUACAACACGAUCAACACUUACAC
rnacentral:lncRNA from 1 species